rnacentral:snRNA from 1 species
GUGCUUGCUUUGGCAGCACAUAUACAAACAUUGGAAUGAUACAGAAAAGAUUUAGCAUGACUUCUGUGCAAGGACGACACACAAAUUCAUGAAGCACUCCAUUUUUUU